rnacentral:tRNA from 1 species
CAAACUGAGCUUAAUCAAAGCAUUUCGCUUACACCGAAAUUAUGUCUGUUAAACUCGGACCAUUUUGAG